rnacentral:sRNA from 1 species
CUGUAAUCUGCUGCGGACAGAUAAAGUGGAUCUACCGACGGUACCAGUCAGCGUUCGGACCAAACCACUUUGACCACGGAUAGAACGCACAUGCGAGUCCGUCGCGCCGUAGGUGACAAUUUUGCCCUCCCCCGCAAUCACGUCCGUAUUGGACCCAACCACCAUGUUGACGUCCACCCCAUCCAUCACAUCCGGGUUUCCAGCCUUACCGACCCCGACGAUGAGGCCGUCCUUCACCCCGAUAUCGGCUUUAUAUAUCCCCGUGUAGUCCACCACCAGCGCAUUCGUAACCACCAUAUCCAGACACUCGUCGUCGCCACGGCCGCUCGCCUGGCCCAUCCCCUCGCGCAG